GACGAACGCUGGCGGCGUGCCUAAUACAUGCAAGUAGAACGCAGUUGCGAACGGGUGAGUAACGCGUAGGUACCUGCCUCCUAGCGGGGGAUAGCUAGUGGAAACGAUAGCUAAUACCGCAUACUGUAAGCUGGACAUGCGGUGUAUUAGUUAGUUGGUGAGGUAAAGGCCCACCAAGGCGACGAUACAUAGCCGACCUGCGAGGGUGAUCGGCCAAAAUGGGACGGGGACACGGCCCAGACUCCUACGGGAGGCAGCAGUAGGGAAUCUUCGGCAAUGGACGGAAGGCUGACCGAGCAACGCCGCGUGAGUGAAGAAGGUUUUCGGAUCGUAAAGCUCUGUUGUUAGGGAAGCGGUACCUAACCAGAAAGGGACGGCUAACUACGUGCCAGCCGCCGCGGUAAUUC
rnacentral:rRNA from 1 species